CCAAUCUACACUUUUAACCCUCUUGUAGUCGGCGGCGCAGGAGUCUUGCUUUUGCUGCUGCUGCUGCUGCUGUUCAAGGUUACAGCCCGGAGCGGAGCAGGAGUGAACAGCGGCGGCAAGCGAAACUUCGCCGGGCGGUCGGGACCGUGCCGAGGGGGCGCGCCGAGGCGGGGGCGCGCUCGGCGGGCAGGGCGGGCGGUGCGGCCUGCGGGCUCCUCCGGCAGCCUCUGCUCGCCCGCCCGUCCUCGCUCUGCGGGCAGUGGUGAGACUGCUUUCCAAACGGACACCGUAAUAAAAAUGAUCUCCUGAAAAUUCAAA